GACAUCAGACAACUCUCCACUUGUACAACUGCUUUUAACCAAAGCACAAACCACAGCUGCUAUAAAAGAAAGCUGACACAACAGCACAGCUUGAACUCAGCGUGUCGACAGAUGGCGCCAGACGAAUUGCGUUUGAUUCGAAAGAUAUGUAUACGAAUGGAUACAUAUAUUUUGUAUGCCUAUGUGCAAGUUCACCAACACCUCUAGCUGCACUGAAAAUUAAAAACAAAUGUAUUCCUAACUAAUGCCCUACUACGCGAUUCUCAUGAAUUCAAGUCGGACUCAUGGGCCACACGGCAACUGUAGACGGCGAUGGCUUUAAAGUUGGAGUAACGACAACUUAAAGAAAGUAGAAGGCAGCUGAUUUAAUAUUGGAAGAGACGGCAGCUUGUUUAAAGGAGGAGGAGGCGGCUUGUACUAUGGUGGAGGCAGUACCCAUUGCCUUGGCGGAUGACGUUGAAAAAAAAAAUGUGAUGUGUUUAUAAAAAUAUUCGUCUCCCGCCUACUAAAUAUGAAGAUAAAAGUAUCGAUGAUGAUAAAUACCUUUGAAUUAACAGAAAGGAGCUGAUUUGUGGAACAACUGUGGCGUAAGCCUUUGUCAAUUUGGUAAGUUCAGCACAAAUCAUUAGCCUUUAAUCGCACGAAUCCAAAAUAGUAGACCAUUUUAUAAUCAAACCUUUUUUACCUGAGUUCUACAAAAUUAUACACUUUUCAAAAACUU